UAGAGUUUUGAUCCUGGCUCAGAUUGAACGCUGGCGGCAGGCCUAACACAUGCAAGUCGAACGGUAACAUUUCUAGCUUGCUAGAAGAUGACGAGUGGCGGACGGGUGAGUAAUGCUUGGGAACUUGCCUUUGCGAGGGGGAUAACAGUUGGAAACGACUGCUAAUACCGCAUAAUGUCUUCGGACCAAACGGGGCUUCGGCUCCGGCGCAAAGAGAGGCCCAAGUGAGAUUAGCUAGUUGGUAAGGUAACGGCUUACCAAGGCGACGAUCUCUAGCUGUUCUGAGAGGAAGAUCAGCCACACUGGGACUGAGACACGGCCCAGACUCCUACGGGAGGCAGCAGUGGGGAAUAUUGCACAAUGGGGGAAACCCUGAUGCAGCCAUGCCGCGUGUGUGAAGAAGGCCUUCGGGUUGUAAAGCACUUUCAGUUGUGAGGAAAAGUUAGUAGUUAAUACCUGCUAGCCGUGACGUUAACAACAGAAGAAGCACCGGCUAACUCCGUGCCAGCAGCCGCGGUAAU
rnacentral:rRNA from 1 species